rnacentral:rRNA from 1 species
CCUACGGGUGGCAGCAGUAGGGAAUCUUCCACAAUGGACGAAAGUCUGAUGGAGCAACGCCGCGUGAGUGAAGAAGGGUUUCGGCUCGUAAAGCUCUGUUGGUAGUGAAGAAAGAUAGAGGUAGUAACUGGCCUUUAUUUGACGGUAAUUACUUAGAAAGUCACGGCUAACUACGUGCCAGCAGCCGCGGUAAUACGUAGGUGGCAAGCGUUGUCCGGAUUUAUUGGGCGUAAAGCGAGUGCAGGCGGUUCAAUAAGUCUGAUGUGAAAGCCUUCGGCUCAACCGGAGAAUUGCAUCAGAAACUGUUGAACUUGAGUGCAGAAGAGGAGAGUGGAACUCCAUGUGUAGCGGUGGAAUGCGUAGAUAUCGCGCAGAACUCCGAUUGCGAAGGCAGCAUGCCGGCUCCACACUGACGCUGAGGCACGAAAGCGUGGGUAUCGAACAGGAUUAGAUACCCCUGUAGUC